GUUACCCCUUACGUAUAUUACAGAUUGCACGUUCUUUUUGCAAUUGGUUCCCUCCAAGAAUGACCCAUUCGUAUUGUUCUCAUUAUAAAAAGAUCUUCUAGCUCACGCUGCACAUGAUGCCGUGUAACACGAGAUCUCAGGAAAGACAUGACAUAUUUGGUAUAGCGAAAAGAGAUUCUGGGAGAGCUGUGCAAA